rnacentral:rRNA from 1 species
UGCCGUGCGGCGUGCUAUACAUGCAGUCGAGCGCGGGAAGCAGGCAGAUCCCUUCGGGGUGAAGCCUGUGGAACGAGCGGCGGACGGGUGAGUAACACGUGGGCAACCUGCCUGUAAGAUCGGGAUAACUCCGGGAAACCGGGGCUAAUACCGGGUAAUCCCUUCCUCCGCAUGGAGGAAGGUUGAAAGGCGGCCUUUUGGCUGUCACUUACAGAUGGGCCCGCGGCGCAUUAGCUAGUUGGUAGGGUAAUGGCCUACCAAGGCAACGAUGCGUAGCCGACCUGAGAGGGUGAUCGGCCACACUGGGACUGAGACACGGCCCAGACUCCUACGGGAGGCAGCAGUAGGGAAUCUUCCGCAAUGGACGAAAGUCUGACGGAGCAACGCCGCGUGAACGAUGAAGGUCUUCGGAUCGUAAAGUUCUGUUGUCAGGGAAGAACAAGUACCGUUUGAACAAGGCGGUACCUUGACGGUACCUGACGAGGAAGCCCCGGCUAACUACGUGCCAGCAGCCGCGGUAAUACGUAGGGGGCAAGCGUUGUCCGGAAUUAUUGGGCGUAAAGCGCGCGCAGGCGGUUCCUUAAGUCUGAUGUGAAAGCCCACGGCUUAACCGUGGAGGGUCAUUGGAAACUGGGGAACUUGAGUACAGAAGAGGAGAGCGGAAUUCCACGUGUAGCGGUGAAAUGCGUAGAUAUGUGGAGGAACACCAGUGGCGAAAGCGGCUCUCUGGUCUGUAACUGACGCUGAGGCGCGAAAGCGUGGGGAGCGAACAGGAUUAGAUACCCUGGUAGUCCACGCCGUAAACGAUGAGUGCUAGUGUUAGGGGGUUUCCGCCCCUUAGUGCUGAAGUUAACGCAUUAAGCACUCCGCCUGGGGAGUACGCCGCAAGGCUGAAACUCAAAGAAUUGACGGGGCCCGCACAAGCGUGGAGCAU